rnacentral:rRNA from 1 species
UUCCCUAUAGUAGAGAAUAGCCCGGCGAAAGUCGGAUUAAUGCUCUAUGUUGUGUUUUGAGGACAUCUGACGAACACCAAAGGUUCACCGCUAUAGGAUGGGGAUGCGUCUGAUUAGCUUGUUGGCGGGGUAACGGCCCACCAAGGCGACGAUCAGUAGGGGUUCUGAGAGGAAGGUCCCCCACAUUGGUACUGAGACACGGACCAAACUCCUACGGGAGGCAGCAGUGAGGAAUAUUGGUCAAUGGGCGAGAGCCUGAACCAGCCAAGUAGCGUGCAGGACGACUGCCCUAUGGGUUGUAAACUGCUUUUAUCAGGGAAUAAAGUGCGGCACGUGUGCCGUUUUGUAUGUACCUGAUGAAUAAGGACCGGCUAAUUCCGUGCC